GUAGUCUAGUUAUAUGUAAUCAAACAUUGAAAGCAGCUAUACAGAGCCCCAUAGGUGCGGCAGGCUCUGCUAUACGCAGCAAAGAGAGAACUUUUCAUGUAGGAUUUUCGUUUUUAAAAAACACUUGUUCUUCAAAUAGCUACAAUAGCUCUGCAGGUGCUUGUCAGUCAAGCAAGAUUACAGACUCCCUAAAUUCAGCCUGACAUAACAGACUGUAAUGACACUGAAGGGGCUGUUGCGGUCUAUUGUGCCAAUGGUCCCUGCCUAAUAGGAGCAUCUCGUAUACUUCUCAUUAAAACUGUAAUGGCUCCAGAGAUUUCUACAUUACCAGUUACUUCACAUGAGUUAUUUUACCACAAAAAAAGGCAUAUUCAUGUGGUGCUAAAGGUGCAAGUUAGAUAAGGAAAAGAAAACUUAGAUUUACAGGCUGACAUGUACCUUUACCUUGUGCAAUUUUGAUGCUGAGAAAUUGCAGCAUUGUCAAGGUUUUGAGCAAUUGUAAGUAAAUCUUUUGCCUGUUGAAAGUGGGAAUGGAAAAGUGGGUGAUGCUGUCUGUGCAGUGAGGUUUUAGCUUGAUGCUGUAGGGACCAACAUGACUUCAUAAAUAAUAGUGGUGGAUGGUUUUGGUAUGCCAUAGCUCCAAGAUAAGUUAUGGUGCUCAUCUUCUGGAUGAUGAAGCUCUUUGGCCUCUGUAACUCUGGAGGUCAUGGCAGACAAUCACACUUGCCCUUUCUGGCCUCAAACUCUCUCAAUCUUCUCCAGAAGCCAGCAGGUUAGCCCCAUUCAGUAAACCCAAAUCACAGCAUGGCAUUUCUGAUACCAAGUGGUUAACCUGUGAAAAAGAGAGAAAAUAUCACGGGGGUGUGGGUUGAAGGGAAACUUGGGUUUGGUGGUCAACAGCAUCUAUUUAGCUCAGUCAUGGCUUUCAUUUCGCAGGUAUACGCAGUGGCACGGAGAGCCUGCUUGGGGACUCCUGGUGACACUACCACGGAGCAAGUCAUAAGGAUGCCGCAACAAAGAAAAUGCUGAGAGUAGUGAGAUGAUGGGAAUAAAUCAGGAGCAGAAGGAAAGCUGUUCAAAAUGCACAUUGUGACAGCAGGUACCUAAUGUGAUGGUCAGGUCUGGAGCUGCCCCCGAGGCACAGGAGUGUCUGCACCUGCCAGCAGCAAGGCCUCUGUUUUACUCACCUAACUUGGGUGUCCCAAAAGAACCGCACUUUUUUAGUGCCCUUACGUAUUCGGAAACUGACGACUAUGCAUUUAUAAACUAUAAAUGUAUCGCAGUUAGCCUAAGCUAUAA